rnacentral:rRNA from 1 species
UACAGAGGUCUCAAGCGUUGUUCGGAUUCAUUGGGCGUAAAGGGUGCGUAGGUGGCGCGCUAAGUCAGGUGUGAAAUUUCGGAGCUUAACUCCGAAACUGCAUUUGAUACUGGCGUGCUUGAGGACUGGAGAGGAGACUGGAAUUCACGGUGUAGCAGUGAAAUGCGUAGAUAUCUGGAGGAACACCGGUGGCGAAGGCGGCAUUCUGGACUGCAACUGACACUGAAAGACGAAAGCCAGGGGAGCAAACGGG